UACGUAGGUGGCAAGCGUUGUCCGGAUUUACUGGGCGUAAAGAGCGCGCAGGCGGUCGUUCAAGUCGCGUGUGAAAGCCCCCGGCUCAACUGGGGAGGGUCACGCGAUACUGAUCGACUCGAAGGCAGGAGAGGGAAGUGGAAUUCCCGGUGUAGUGGUGAAAUGCGUAGAUAUCGGGAGGAACACCAAUGGCGAAGGCAGCUCACUGGGACGAUACUGACGCUGAGACGCGAAAGCGUGGGGAGCAAACAGG
rnacentral:rRNA from 1 species